rnacentral:rRNA from 1 species
UACGUAGGGGCCGAGCGUUGCUCGGAAUUAUUGGGCGUAAAGGGUAGGUAGGUGGUCUCGUUUGUCUGAGGUGAAAGCCUUGAGCUUAACUCAAGAAGUGCCUUAGAAACGGCGAGACUGGAGUACUGGAGAGGGUCGUGGAAUUCCCGGUGUAGCGGUGAAAUGCGUAGAGAUCGGGAGGAACACCAGAGGCGAAGGCGGCGACCUGGACAGUUACUGACACUCAACUACGAAAGCGUGGGGAGCAAACAGG